GGGGGGGGGUUUUUUUGCAGUCGAGCGAUGGAUUAAGAGCUUGCUCUUAUGAAGUUAGCGGCGGACGGGUGAGUAACACGGGGGGGGCCUGCCCAUAAGACUGGGAUUUUUCCGGGAAACCGGGGCUAAUACCGGAUAACAUUUUGAACYGCAUGGUUCGAAAUUGAAAGGCGGCUUCGGCUGUCACUUAUGGAUGGGCCCGCGUCGCAUUAGCUAGUUGGUGAGGUAACCCCUCACCAAGGCAACGAUGCGUAGCCGACCUGAGAGGGUGAUCGGCCAAAAUGGGACUGAGACACGGCCCAGACUCCUACGGGAGGCAGCAGUAGGGAAUCUUCCGCAAUUUACGAAAGUCUGACGGAGCAACGCCGCGUGAGUGAUGAAGGCUUUCGGGUCGUAAAAAUCUGUUGUUAGGGGGGGACAAGUGCUAGUUGAAUUUGCUGGCACCUUAACGGUACCUAAAAAGAAAGCCACGGCUAACUACGUGCCAGCAGGGGCGGUAAUACGUAGGUCCCAAGCGUUAUCCCCUUUUAUUGGGCGUAAAGCGCGCGCAGGUGGUUUCUUAAGUCUGAUGUGAAAGCCCCCGGCUCACCCGUGGAGGGUCAUUGGAAACUGGGAGACUUGAGUGCAGAAGAGGAAAGUGGAAUUCCAUGGGGGGGGGUGAAAUGCGUAGAGAUAUGGAGGAACACAGUGGCGAAAGCGACUUUCUGGUCUGUAACGGACACUGAGCGCGAAAGCGUGGGGAGCAAACAGGAAAAGAUACCCUGGUAGUCCACGCCGUAAACGAUGAGUGCUAGUUUUUAAGRAGGGUUUCCGCCCCCAAAUGCUGAAGUUAACGCAUUAAGCACUCCGCCUGGGGAGUACGCCGCAUGCUGAACUCAAGGAAUGGACGGGCCGCACAGCGGUGGGAGCAUGUGGGGAUUCGAGCAACGCGAGAUCCUACAGUCUUGAAAUUCUUUGAAGGGG
rnacentral:rRNA from 1 species